rnacentral:rRNA from 1 species
GUGGAUUAGAUACCCUGGUAGUCCACGCCGUAAACGAUGGAUACUAGCUGUUGGGGGCAACUUCAGUGGCUAAGCGAAAGUGAUAAGUAUCCCACCUGGGGAGUACGAACGCAAGUUUGAAACUCAAAGGAAUUGACGGGGGCCCGCACAAGCGGUGGAGCAUGUGGUUUAAUUCGAUGAUACGCGAGGAACCUUACCAAGGCUUAAAUGUAGAUUGACAGGACUGGAAACAGUUUUUUCUUCGGACAAUUUACAAGGUGCUGCAUGGUUGUCGCCAGCU